rnacentral:rRNA from 1 species
AGAGAGAGACAUGCGCGCAUAUCAAUAAGCGGAGGAAAAGAAACUAACAAGGAUUCCCUUAGUAACGGCGAGUGAAGCGGGAAGAGCUCAAAUUUGAAAUCUUCAAGGUUUUACCUUGACGAAUUGUAGUUUAAAGAAGUGUUUUCUGCUGAAGUUUUGGUAAAAGUUCUUUGGAAUAGGACAUCAUAGAGGGUGAGAAUCCCGUAUUUGACCAUUAUUUUCAGCUUUGUAAUACACUUUCAAAGAGUCGGAUUGUUUGGGAAUGCAGUCCAAAAUGGGUGGUAAAUUUCAUCUAAAGCUAAAUAUUGGCGAGAGACCGAUAGCGAACAAGUACCGUGAGGGAAAGAUGAAAAGAACUUUGAAAAGAGAGUUAAACAGUACGUGAAAUUGUCCAAAAGGGAAGCGUUUGACACCAGUGUUGUUUUCCUCGAAAAUCAAUUAAAAAUGGCUCGAUUUUGUAUUGUUGAGACCUUAAAAGCUCACUGUACAUUCUUUCGUGUCUUUUUUAAUGCACUUUUCGUUUAACAAGUCAACAUCAGUUUCUUUUGUUGUAAAAGGGUCAUUGGAAGGUGGCUUUCUUUUCGGAGAAAGUGUUUUAUAGCCUUUGGCCUCUGCAAUCGGAAGAGACUGAGGUCUGCAGCGUAGACUCUUCGGGGUUAGAUACAUUUGUGCUAAGUUAUAGCUUUUUAUAGACAACUUGUUGACUAUAAUUAGUCUUGUAGCUUACUCGCUUAUGCUAUUUUACCUACGCUUAGGAUGUUGAAGAUGUAGCACAUCAU